rnacentral:lncRNA from 1 species
UUCCUUUUGAGACUAAGCUCUGUCUCCAUAUGCAUUUUGCAUAAGGCUACCUAUCUGCCUUUCGAGGUUAAGAUCUACUUCCAUCUGCUUUGCAUAAGGCUAAUCUUCUGCCUUCCUUAGGAUAAGCUUUACCUACAUCAUCAUCUGCAUAAGGCUACUUAUCUGCCUUUCGAGACUAAGUCCUAUCUCCAUUUUCAUAAGGUCGCUCCUAUGCCUUUCGAGACUAAGCCCCAUCUCCAUCUGCAUUUUGCAUUAGGCUACUUCUCUGCCUUCCGAGGUUAAGCUCUAUCUCCAUCAUCAUCUGCAUAAGGCUACUCUACUUGCCUUCUGAGACUAAACACUAUCUCCAUGCUACAUGGCUGAAAUAUCGCCACUUUAUUUUCUCGUACGGCUGAAACAUCCUCACCUUCAUUUAAAUUAUAUACCAGCUAAAAUAUCACCAUUUCUUGCAUAGGCUGAAAGAUCUCCACCUUUUGCAUUUCAUAGGCUGAAAGAUCGCC